rnacentral:lncRNA from 1 species
GAGGAACGGGAUUGCCAGCAGUAUGUGAUUUGUCUACAAUUCAUCUGUGAACCGAGUAAAUCAUGGCUUCUUCAAGUGCAAGGAUCGAAACCAAUUACCAUUAGUGACCAUCGGGUGCAGCCGAUCCUUUCUGUCCUGUUGCCUGAAUCUCA